rnacentral:rRNA from 1 species
GACGAACGCUGGCGGCGUGCUUAACACAUGCAAGUCGAACGGAAAGGCCCUGCUUUUGUGGGGUGCUCGAGUGGCGAACGGGUGAGUAACACGUGAGUAACCUGCCCUUGACUUUGGGAUAACUUCAGGAAACUGGGGCUAAUACCGGAUAGGAGCUCCUGCUGCAUGGUGGGGGUUGGAAAGUUUCGGCGGUUGGGGAUGGACUCGCGGCUUAUCAGCUUGUUGGUGGGGUAGUGGCUUACCAAGGCUUUGACGGGUAGCCGGCCUGAGAGGGUGACCGGCCACAUUGGGACUGAGGAACGGCCCAGACUCCUAAGGGAGGCAGAAGUGGGGAAUAUUGCACAAUGGGCGGAAGACUGAUGCAGCAACGCCGCGUGCGGGAUGACGGCCUUAGGGUUGUAAACCGCUUUCGCCUGUGACGAAGCGUGAGUGACGGUAAUGGGUAAAGAAGCACCGGCUAACUACGUG